AACACGGAUUAGAUACCCUGGUAGUCCACGCCCUAAACGAUGUCAACUAGCUGUCGGGGUCUUCGGACUUUGGUAGCGCAGCUAACGCGUGAAGUUGACCGCCUGGGGAGUACGGUCGCAAGAUUAAAACUCAAAGGAAUUGACGGGGACCCGCACAAGCGGUGGAUGAUGUGGAUUAAUUCGAUGCAACGCGAAAAACCUUACCUACCCUUGACAUGUCUGGAAUCCCGAAGAGAUUUGGGAGUGCUCGAAAGAGAACCGGAACACAGGUGCUGCAUGGCCGUCGUCAGCUCGUGUCGUGAGAUGUUGGGUUAAGUCCCGCAACGAGCGCAACCCUUGUCAUUAGUUGCUACGAAAGGGAACUCUAAUGAGACUGCCGGUGACAAACCGGAGGAAGGUGGGGAUGACGUCAGGUCCUCAUGGCCCUUAUGGGUAGGGCUUCACACGUCAUACAAUGGUCGGGACAGAGGGCAGCCAACCCGCGAGGGGGAGCCAAUCCCAGAAACCCGAUCGUAGUCCGGAUUGCAGUCUGCAACUCGACUGCAUGAAGUCGGAAUCGCUAGUAAUCGCGGAUCAGCAUGCCGCGGUGAAUACGUUCCCGGGUCUUGUACACACCGCCCGUCACACCAUGGGAGUGGGUUCUACCAGAAGUAGUUAGCCUAACCGCAAGGAGGGCGAUUACCACGGUAGGGUUCAUGACUGGGGUGAAGUCGUAACAAGGUAGCCGUAA
rnacentral:rRNA from 1 species